rnacentral:misc_RNA from 1 species
GAUGAAGAACGUAGCGAAAUGCGAUAAGUAAUGUGAAUUGCAGAAUUCAGUGAAUCAUCGAAUCUUUGAACGCACAUUGCGCCCGUCAGUAUUCUGGCGGGCAUGCCUGUUCGAGCGUCAUUACGCCCCUCAAGUCCCCUGUGGACUUGGUGUUGGGGAUCGGCGAGGCUGGUUUUCCAGCACAGCCGUCCCUUAAAUUAAUUGGCGGUCUCGCCGUGGCCCUCCUCUGCGCAGUAGUAAAACACUCGCAUCAGGAGCCCGGCGCGGUCCACUGCCGUAAAACCCCCCAACUUUUUAUAGUUGACCUCGAAUCAGGUAGGACUACCCGCUGAACUUAAGCAUAUCAAUAAGCGGAGGA